GAGAAUUUUUUUAUUGCAAAGUACUCUAUUUUUUUGGUCUACAAUGUCCACUAGUACCUCCUCAUAGGAUAGAUCAUCCUGAAGUGAAAGGGACUCGUGGGACAAGAUGUGUGAGGAGUUUGGGUUGUACUUACAUAACAUGAAUACAUGAAACAUAUAAUGAACCCUGUAUAGCUCUGGAGGUAGUACUAGCAUCUAGGUGGUC
rnacentral:lncRNA from 1 species